AUUUAAAAAAAGAAAAAGAAGGAGGGAGAAAAAAAGAUGAAGAAAUAUUUUUUAUUUGAAACUAGGACUAGUGCUUUCCCUCACCGAGAUACUAAUGUAUCCCUAUACCCUAAAUUAUUCUCUAAAAUGGUGCUCCGAAACGCAAUGAGAGGAAGGUCGAAAGAGCACCAUUUUCAAA
rnacentral:ribozyme from 1 species